AAGAAUGCAACAUGUGCGAAAACAAUCGUACAAAGACCGCGCGUAGAGUAAUGCGAAUAAAUGCAGACAUUUAUGGACAGCCAGCGUUAUUGCCGUGUGAUAUGGCGCCACUUUAUGGAACAGUUUUAACGGGCGCGUGUAAUAAGACGCGAUUAAAAGACACCUAAUGAUUAUUUAUACCCCGAUGGAUUCUCUUUUCUUUUCACCGUGCGGCGUUACACAAAAUUUCCGCUCAUUUGCAUGUACGUUACAUAAUAAAUCUCGCAAACAAGAAUCGCUUAAUUUCCCUCUGGGAGUUUGCCCAACACGCUUUUUAACAUCUCUUUUAGCACCCGAGCCGCGCCGUUUUGAUAUCCCAGCCGCCGCUUUCCAUUUACAUCAUAGAAACUACAAGUCCGCCUCGAGCAUCCCGAAGAUAAACUAAAAUAACCCUAAAUGUAAAAGUAAAAAUAGUAUUACCGUCCUCGAAUCUAUAAAAAAAAAAAACAUUAAUUGCAUUAAUGUUAAUAAUCACAUUCUUCAACAUUCGCGUAAAGGAAAUUUGAAAGCCUAUUUGAAAAAAAGAAAUAAGUGAUCCACCCAAACCAAUCCACAUCGUACUCGUAGUAGACUCUGCAUACACCACGACAACGUACGUAAAAUCGAGAAUCAGCCCUCUCCAAAAUUCCUACGAUCAGUACACCCCCGUGCAAAUCCUUUCUCCAUUCACGUUAUCCUUUCCAUUCGAGUUAUCUUUUAUCGGAAUCUCGAUUGGUGCAGAAGAGAAGGGGCCAAAGGAGCCACUGCCCCCGGAGAUCGUGUCUCCACGUGGCAAUGACAGGAGUACCUGACUUCGGCCAAGGUUGUGCCAAGACAGGACGGAAAGCCGCGAGUAAAAUCUAUCCGGGUACGCGAAGAAAUCCUGGCCGGCUGCCAAAGAGACGGCCAGACGUUAGUCAUCCCGCGGGACGCACGGGUAGGAAGAAAGGGAACCGCGGCGGGCUAAUAAAAGACAAGGGUAACGUAAUUCCACCCGCGCUCCAAUAAUAGCGCUGCCGUUUAACGACGCUUCCGCCGUUGGCGCUCUUGUCUUUCGGCCUAAGUAUUUUCAUCGGCGAUGAUUUACGAGGAUACGCGGGUCCAUUCGAGGCUGUUGCAGCGGCGAGUGUUUGGACGGUAACAAGCGCGCGCAACGAGAAAGGAAAGGAGAAAAUCGUGAAAAUCCAGUACAAACAAGAAGCAAGGAAGACAUGGUGAAGCCUCGGUAAAGCUCGUUGAAGAAGAAUGCUCGGAGUCGUUUAUCAGGUUCCCUCCAGCUGGCAGUAAAUUUCGUGGCAAUCCACAGGAGGGAAGAUCGUGACCCUUACACGACUGAUAUGAACAAAACCGACUUGCAUGAAAACCACGGAACGGAAUUCACAACGUGUGUUCUUAACGAGACCUUCCGUCCUUCUUCGCUCGGUGAAUUGGAUCUCUUGUUGCCCCUGUCCGACGUCUCUUUCGUGCACGAAUCAUGGGACGAAGGGAGAACCAUUUCCGGAUCGCCGAUC